CUUAGGACUACUCUGUGGGUCAGGAAUUCAGGAAGGCUUCAUUGGGUGAUUUGUCUUUGACCUAUGUGGUAAUAACUGGGAUGGCUGGGGCCAGAGGAUCCGCUUAGAAGAUAGCUUCUUCACUCAUACCCAUAGCCCCUCAGUGUUCUGUGGCCUCUCUCUCUUUACCUGGCAUCCUUAGGUUGCCUGCAGGUGGCUUGAGUUUCUCUCAGUGUGGUGGUUUCAGGGCAGUCAAUUUGCUUACAUGGAAGCUGACUUUCUCAGUGGGACCAUUUCAAGAGUGAUUGUUCUAAGAGAUCAAGGCAGAAGUUUCAAGGCUUUAUAUGAACUGGCUUCAGAAAUCACAUAGUAUCAUUUCUGGUACACUCUGUUGGUUACACAGGGUCAACUCAAAUUCACUAUGGGAAGGGAUGACAAAAGGAAGAGAGUACAGGGAGGCAUGGUUCAUUGGAAGUUAUUUUGGAGAUCAGCUAUCAUAGCAAUUGAUUGCCCACGAUUUUCUGUUUUUUGUUUUUUUUCCUUAAAUCUCCUGACCUACUGAAAUUUGCCAGGUUAAAAUCUCAGAGCUUACUGACCCUGGGAAAUGCUAUCCAAAGAGAUCAUGUAGAGCUGGUAUCAGAGGAUUUUUCAAGGUUAUUUUAGGAGCUGGUGCAUCCUGACAUUCAAAGAAUACACACAUUUCUUUUCACUAAGUUCUCAUAUAAAUGCCAUGACAGGCAGUGAGAUAGACUUAGAGUAUUCCUGGCCUCAGGAGGUGGGACUUCCAUGAGGAACUGCUAUCUUAACCUCUAUCCUGUUCACUGCCUCUCCACAAAGGAGAAAGGGUCUAAGAUUUUAAAUAUGUGCCAGGCACACACUUAGCACAUACAUACAUGUUAGUGGUGAAUCCUCCCAAAGACCGGUGAGAUAGACUGUAUUAUACUCAUUUCAUAAUUGAAGAACCUCUGGUUCUGCUAAGCCACUAGCCUGAUGUCACACAGCAGGUAAGUGGCAACCCUGAGCUUUAAACCUAAAUCUUCUGGUUUUAAAGCACAUUGUUCUUCUACAGCACAAGAAACUGAACUGAUGUAGCAUUAUUCUGUACUUUAUUAAGGUUCAAAUUUCACUGAGCAUAUAACUGUAUACUAACUACUGUCGAAAUAUAUUUUGAAUUAGAAAUGUACAUACCUGUAAGUCUCAAAAAAAUUCUAUCAGCUUUGGCCUGGGCUCUCCAGAGUGCUCUUGGAGAUGUGCAACACUUUCCAAUUAGCAUUCUCUUUGGCCUGAUGGAUGAGGAGAAUGGGGAUGGUCAGCUAUCUCUUUUAUCCAAAUAUGAGGUCCCCAGUGUUAGAGGUCUCACUCUGGCUUUCAGUGGGGCAAAUGUUCAUGAGCACACUACCGUUGAGCAUGGCUUGCUUAGUGAGCCCAUAGGAAAUCAGGAAAUUCACAAUGAUAAAGAAUGAUGGAAUAACUGAGAUGCAUGGUAUUUUUCUUAGACCUCUUAAGAGACUGGCAACAAAUUGGGGCUUGAUGGAAAUUAAUUUACAUGAGUCAAGAAAAACCAGAGGACAGGUAGUAGGAUUGAUAAUGUCAAAGUAGGAGGAGAAGAGGAAGAAUCAUAUAUUAAAGGAGAGGUGAGAAAUGGCCAUACAUUGCAAUUGGCUCAAGGCAGAGAAAAGUUAAUUCUACACUUUAUAAUAGCACUACCAAUUAUUCACUGUCGGUACUAAGAAAUAUUUGUCAGCUCUCAACUUGUAAGUGGAGAUAAAUCUUACAUGUUCAGUUGUGUCAGGUUAUCAUCUGGUCUACACUAAUUGAAUUUGUAAUAGACCAGCCUGAGUCCUGACUCUCCACAAAGCUUCUCCUGACUACUCCCUCACGUGCUGAUUCAUGAACUUACGUCGUUACCCUACGGAGCUUUAUCUGAUUAAUUCACUAGAUUAUGAGUCUUGAGGCAACAGUUCUUUCACUAUACUUUUCCACCUCCCUACCCUUGCUCAACAUGUACACAUACACACUCACAUGCUCAUACACACACACUCACACACACAUUCACACUCACACAAUAUACUCACACACUCACACACCACACACUCACAGGCACAUACCCUUUUCUUCCAGCACAGGCCUAAAUCCUUAGGAAGCACAUAAUAAACACUGGAUGAAAGAACUGGGUUCCACACACUCAAAAACAUUUAAUGCAGAACAAUGCAUAGCCGUUAACUAAUUCAUCGAUGAUGCCAGUCUAAUUUCAGGUGUUAUUGCUAGGCCUGUUAAGCUUGGCCAGUUAGCUAUCAGCUCUGUUGAUGUUUGUAGCUUCUCUUAGAUGAACAUUUCCCAGAGUGAUUGCUCCGGAAUGUUACUUUGGAAUGUUCACACAUUAUAUGCAGUGUUGGGAGAUCUACAGUUCAUACUAGUAUAUUAAAUGCCCUGAGAAGACCUGCAGGAAAGGAAGCCAUUGUCUGAGUGAACAUUUUCCAAAUUAAUUUAUUUGACCAUAGGUUAUCUCUUAAGACAGCAGCACCUAUUUAUUUUCCAGGAAAGUAGUGUUUCCUGAAAUACAUUUCAGGAAAUCAUGGCCCACAAACCCCUGCUUUGAUUCUUUAUCUUCCUUGUUCUUGUGCUUGGUACUAUCUACCUCCCUGUGCCUCAGGCCCAGGGCUUACCUUCUUGCUUCUGAGUGGAUAGAAGCUCUGAGAACCUACAGAAAGAUGCCCCUUUAGGCUAACUUAGCAUUGUUUCAGGCUAGGAGGGGCCCCAGAAAUACCAUGUCCAAUCUUUCAUUUCAGAAACGAGGACAUAGAUGCAGAUGAGGAGAAGUCCAUUGAACACACUCAAGUUAGAACUGCAACUAAAACCCAGGCCUCUAAGUUCCAAAGAAAGAACAUUUCUCCCCUUCUAUUUUUCCUCCAUUCAUAGCGAAGCAGUUUCCUAGAGAGCCAGCAUUUGGGCCCUGCUGGCUUCAUUGAAAGUAGGCAGGCUCAAAAGCUGGAUAUAAUUAGUGAUUUUGAGGAGUUCAAUGCAUGUCCUGGAAAUGGAGAAGAUUGGCAACUGGAGCCCAUACUUUGGCAGAGGCUGAAUGCUGCUUCUAAAACUCCUGGAACAAUAUAGUGCAUUAGCUGGUCCGCCUCCACCUUGAAAUAAAGGCUUCUGGCUCCCAUGGGCUGGGCAAGGCAGAAAGGGAACAACUUGAUUUUCAAAUAAAGACCUUCUUUGAAAAAUUUCCCAGGGGACAUGAUUUGUGGGAUCAUAGCCCAGUGCACUUCUUCCACCAGACACCCUGGUUUUGGAAUAAGGGCACUGAGGCCUAGAGAGGCUUAUAUUAUUGAGGGUUAGGAAUACAUUUUGAGCUCUGGUGCCUCAAGAAAACCUGAUUCUGGAGCCUUGGAAUCUGAAUUUUGAAAGAUCUCUGGGUGGUUCUAAUGUGCUGUCAUAUUAAGCAAUGAUAGCACUAAAGCAUCUAUGCUACAUACAUAUUUAUAGAUAUUGCAUUCUCCUUCUGCUAUCUGUUGACCCAAGUCAGUCUUUGACACAAGCCCCAGAAUUGUCAAGCUAAUGCUUUGCUUUGCUAAUCCAGG
rnacentral:lncRNA from 1 species